GGCCAAGAGGAAGUUUGCAGAGUCUCUCAACGAGUUUAAGUUCCAGUGUAUAGGAGAUGCAGAAACGGAUGACGAGAUCUGUAUUGCAAAGUCUCUACAGGAGUUUGCUGGAGUGUUGCAGAACCUGGAGGAUGAGAGGACACGGAUGAUUGAAAAUGCCAAUGAUGUGCUGAUCAUGCCGCUGGAGCGCUUCCGGAAGGAGCAGAUCAGUGCUGCCA